GUCACUAGGGGUGCCUCCCAUUGCGGGGGCUGAGAUCACACCCUCCGAACCUGAUCCGGGUCAUGCCGGCGCAGGGAAGUGAGA
rnacentral:ncRNA from 1 species